rnacentral:misc_RNA from 1 species
AGUUUUGAAUGAAUUAUACAAUAGCGUCUUUAUAUAGCGCAGAAGAACAUGGAAAAAGUGGUUUGUUACAAACGAUAUCUUAACGUUUAUUCUAAAGUAAGGAAAUAUUUUGGACGUUACUAGCGAUUGUUUUCGUGUAUUUAAACACUUCAAAGAAACAAACGUUGUUAAAUGACGAAGGGCGAAUUACAGUAAAACUAUUGGUACGUUGGAUAUAACUUUGUGACUUUGUUUGAAACUGGAUCUAACUUAUACAUUAAUGGUUAUAUAAGAAGAAAAGAACAUGAAAGACAAGAACAGUUUAAAAUCUGCACCAAAGAUCGUGUUUUGGCUUUCUUUCUUCGUCAUUGUUUUUGCCUGCAUCACCAUCACGACCGAUUCUCUAGGAUACAAACUUCCGGUCCUGGUACCCGACAAUUACAAAUCUUCUUUCUUGCCUGGUUUCCAGUAUAACCAGUUACCUGAAAAUAGAAGCGCUCAUAAUGUGAUUUCUAAAGUGAAAGCUACUCAAAGUACUGCCAUCCUAUCCAGAGCACGUAAAAAUUUAACAACUCAUGUAGCAUUUUUAAAAGUACACAAGGCAGGAUCAACUACUAUGCAAAAUUUGUUUUUUAGAUUUGGAUUGAGACAUAAUUUGAAUAUUCUUCUUCCGAAGUCUGGAAACUAUCUGAAUGUAGCGUCUCAGAAAAUCCCCUUGAAACCUGGUGAACAUUACGAUGUCUUUGCAUGUCACACUGUAUACCGGAAGCAGUGGUUUGAUAGUCUACUUCCGGCUGAUUCGGUAUACAUCGGAAUUGUUCGUGAACCGGUGAGCAGAAUGAUAAGUUCAGCAUAUUAUUAUCGUGAUGUUUUUGGUGUCGGCUACUUGAAAAGAACACCGCAAGCUAAUUUCAUACACAAUCUUGUAAAUUUUCCUGAAAAGUAUGAUACGGGAUUUUUCUCCCAUACGAGAAACUCGAUGGGCAAAGAUUUUGGAUUUCAACGUGGUAUUCAACAGACAAAUAAAACUCAAAUCAAGAAAUACCUGGAUCAGUUGAAUUCACAGUUUUUACUUGUUUUAGUCAUGGAAAAAUUCGACGAAUCUCUAGUCAUGAUGAAAAGAGUUCUAAAUUGGUCAUUUAUUGACAUCAUAUAUUUGAAAACCAACUCACAUAAACAUAAUCCUAUUGUUUUGAACGCUACAGAAAAGGCAACAUUUAGAAGAACCAGUUUCUUAGACUUUGAAAUAUAUGAAUAUUUUUCUGAUGUUUUUGAAAAGAAAUUAAAUCAAACUGAGCUUGAUUUUUAUAAUGAAGUUGCAUUUUUUAAAACUCUGUUAGAUCAAGUAAGUGAAUUUUGCUUUAAAAAGAAUAAAAGUGAAACACUGGGAUUGUCAAUUCAACAAUCGAAAUGGGACGGAAAGUUUCAAGUUACAAAGUCAGACUGUGAAUGGAUGCAGACGAAGGAAAUAGCUUUUAUAACAAAACUCCGCAAGAAAUAUAUUCGGUGAGCUCAAAAACCUUUUCCUCUAAACCGACGGUAACUUACAUUUUCUUGGAAGAGAGUUACGCAAACCAGAGAGUUUACAAACAAGAGGAAAAUGUACCGCUCAACAAGGAUGUAUAAUAAAUCACAGCGUCAACAAAUCAUAACUAGCAUGAAUAAAUGCUUUAUGACACAUAUCUCAGCAAGUGAGACGCUCCUGUUGCUUCUUUUUUAAUCUACGGAAGAGUAUUAGGACUACAUUUGGGAGAAGUAAAAUACAUACUUUAUACUAUAGGGAAACGUUUCACAUAUAUUACGUUUAUGACAGGAAUGGUAUUACGUUUAUGACAGGUAUGAUAAAAAAGCUAUAUUUGGAAUGAGUUAGCAUAUGCGAAGGAAUUUCGAUCUCGAGUAUAAGCACAAAAAUAAAUGAACGAAUUGGACUAUUCGGCGAUUCGACUGAAAAGCACAGAAAAAAGCCGAUAAAAUUGAUCAAAAUUUGUAUGUUAAGUGGCUGGCUCCAUAUUACCUUCAUUUUAUUUUGAUCAAACUCUUAUAAACUAUAUGGCAGGUUCCAUAUUACAUUGAUAUCAUUUUGACCAGACCCAGUAUAUCAUGUCGCAGGUUCAAUAUUACAUUGAUUUCCUUUUUUAUCGUGCUUUACUGAUAUAUUAUAUCAAGUUGCAGGUUCCAUAUUACAUUGAUAUCAUUUUGAUCAGACUAUAUAUCAUGUGGCAGGUUCAACAUUAUAUUUAUAUCGUUUUUCAUUCGAUCCUAAAUAUCAUGUGGCAGGCUCAGUAUUACAUUCAGAUCAUUUUUUAUUCGACCAUACAUAUGAUGUGGCAGACUCAGUAUUGCAUUUACAUCAUUUUUAACUCAACAUUACGUUUCUAACAUUUUUGUUCGGAUCCAAUAUAUCAUGUGCCUUGCUCAGUAUUAUAUUUACAUGUAUAUCAUUUUUGAGUGGACCUUAUAUAUCAUGGGGCAAGAAUUACAUUGAUAUAUCAGUAUCAUUUUCUGAUCGGGCCCUAUAUAUAUAUAUAUAUAUAUAUAUAUAUAUCAUGUGGCAGGUUCCAUAUUACUUCGAUAUCAUUUUGAUCAGACCUUUAAUACAGGCUCAACAUUACAUUUAUAUAACAUUACAUUUAUAUAACAUUACAUUUAUAUAAUUUUUGAUACAUAUAUAUCAUGUGACAGGUCCUGUAUGACUUUGAUACAUUGGUACAGAUUCAAUGUUAUUUUCCUAAUGUUGACACAAACUACCUUAAUGUCAUAUCAGUUGGACGCGGCAUUACCUUGAUAAUGUUUAGCACAAUCUUCAUA